rnacentral:rRNA from 1 species
CAGCCGCCACGGGAAUACGUAGGUGGCAAGCGUUGUCCGGAUUUAUUGGGCGUAAAGCGAGCGCAGGCGGUUUCUUAAGUCUGAUGUGAAAGCCCCCGGCUCAACCGGUGAGGGUCAUUGGAAACUGGGAAACUUGAGUGCAGAAGAGGAGAGUGGAAUUCCAUGUGUAGCGGUGAAAUGCGUAGAUAUAUGGAGGAACACCAGUGGCGAAGGCGGCUCUCUGGUCUGUAACUGACGCUGAGGCUCGAAAGCGUGGGGAGCAAACAGGAUUAGAUACCCCGGUAGUCCCUGUCUCUUAUAC